AACCCUCGCUGUGUGUUACAAGUGUCACACGGAACUGCCGGUCAUAAGCCGGAGGAAGUGGGGAUGACGUCAAGUCAGCAUGGCCUUUAUAUCCUGGGCUACACACACGCUACAAUGGGAAGGGACAAUAGGUUGCGAAGCCGCGAGGCGGAGCCAAUCCAGCAAAACUUCCCUCAGUUCAGAUUGCAGGCUGCAACCCGCCUGCAUGAAGUUGGAGUUGCUAGUAAACGCAGGUCAGCCAUACUGCGUUGAAUACGUUCCCGGGGCUU
rnacentral:rRNA from 1 species